rfam:Oryza nivara chromosome 3, whole genome shotgun sequence.
AAUAAGUAUAGUUUUACACUAUUCACGUUCAACGUUUCACUGUUCGCCUUAUUUAAAAAUUUUGUUAUGAUUAGUAUUUUCAUUGCUAUUAGAUGAUAAAACAUGAAUAGUAUUUUAUACGCGACUAAAUAUUUUUAAAUUUUUCACAAAUUUUUCAAAUAAAACGGAUGAUUAAAUAUUAGGCACGGAUAUCCACGGCUGCACUUAUU